rfam:Gossypium arboreum cultivar AKA8401 contig_1088_7, whole genome shotgun sequence.
CUUGGGGGAGCGUUUUGUCCAUGUCAGCACAAAGCGCACCCUCAAGGAAGUACUUUGUGCUGACGUGGACAAAACGCUCCCCAGAGA